UCAGAUGCUGCAGACCCGAAACGAAGUGAUCUAUCCAUGAGCAAGUUGAAGCUAGUGUAAGAACUAGUGGAGGACUGAACCCAUAGGCGUUGAAAAGCCCCGGGAUGACUUGUGGAUAGGGGUGAAAGGCCAAUCAAACUUCGUGAUAGCUGGUUCUCUCCGAAAUAUAUUUAGGUAUAGCGUUGUGUCGUAAUAUAAGGGGGUAGAGCACUGAAUGGGCUAGGGCAUACACCAAUGUACCAAACCCUAUCAAACUCCGAAUACCUUAUAUGUAAUCACAGCAGUCAGGCGGCGAGUGAUAAAAUCCGUCGUCAAGAGGGAAACAACCCAGACUACCAGCUAAGGUCCCUAAAUCUUACUUAAGUGGAAAACGAUGUGAAGUUACUUAAACAACCAGGAGGUUGGCUUAGAAGCAGCCAUCCUUUAAAGAAAGCGUAAUAGCUCACUGGUCUAGUGAUUUUGCGCGGAAAAUAUAACGGGGCUAAAGUAAGUACCGAAGCUGUAGACUUGCGCACAACUUAGAUUAUUUAAGUUUAGAAUAUGAGAAACUAAGUUAUAUUUUUACUGAUUUUUAUAGAGUAAAGAUAGAAAUAAAACUUAGUAAAAUCAGUAAAAAUAUUCUUAGACUAAAGUUAAGUAGUUUAAGUUGUGUGCAAGUGGUAGGAGAGCGUUCUAUUUGCGUCGAAGGUAUACCGGUAAGGAGUGCUGGAGCGAAUAGAAGUGAGCAUGCAGGCAUGAGUAGCGAUAAUUAAUGUGAGAAUCAUUAACGCCGUAAACCCAAGGUUUCCUACGCGAUGCUCGUCAUCGUAGGGUUAGUCGGGUCCUAAGUCGAGUCCGAAAGGGGUAGACGAUGGCAAAUUGGUUAAUAUUCCAAUACCAACAUUAGUGUGCGAUGGAAGGACGCUUAGGGCUAAGGGGGCUAGCGGAUGGAAGUGCUAGUCUAAGGUCGUAGGAGGUUAUACAGGCAAAUCCGUAUAACAAUACUCCGAGAACUGAAAGGCUUUUUGAAGUCUUCGGAUGGAUAGAAGAACCCCUGAUGCCGUCGAGCCAAGAAAAGUUUCUAAGUUUAGCUAAUGUUGCCCGUACCGUAAACCGACACAGGUGGGUGGGAUGAGUAUUCUAAGGCGCGUGGAAGAACUCUCUUUAAGGAACUCUGCAAAAUAGCACCGUAUCUUCGGUAUAAGGUGUGGUUCGCUUCGUAUUAGGAUUUACUCCGAAAGCGAAGAAACUUACAACAAAGAGUCCCUCCCGACUGUUUACCAAAAACACAGCACUCUGCUAACUCGUAAGAGGAUGUAUAGGGUGUGACGCCUGCCCGGUGCUCGAAGGUUAAUUGAUGGGGUUAGCAUUAGCGAAGCUCUUGAUCGAAGCCCGAGUAAACGGCGGCCGUAACUAUAACGGUCCUAAGGUAGCGAAAUUCCUUGUCGGUUAAAUACCGACCUGCAUGAAUGGCGUAACGAGAUGGGAGCUGUCUCAAAGAGGGAUCCAGUGAAAUUGUAGUGGAGGUGAAAAUUCCUCCUACCCGCGGCAAGACGGAAAGACCCCGUGGACCUUUACUACAGCUUGACACUGCUAUUUGGAUAAGAAUGUGCAGGAUAGGUGGGAGGCUUUGAGUAUAUGACGCCAGUUGUAUAUGAGCCAUUGUUGAGAUACCACUCUUUCUUAUUUGGGUAGCUAACCAGCUUGAGUUAUCCUCAAGUGGGACAAUGUCUGGUGGGUAGUUUGACUGGGGCGGUCGCCUCCCAAAUAAUAACGGAGGCUUACAAAGGUUGGCUCAGAACGGUUGGAAAUCGUUCGUAGAGUAUAAAGGUAUAAGCCAGCUUAACUGCAAGACAUACAAGUCAAGCAGAGACGAAAGUCGGUCUUAGUGAUCCGGUGGUUCUGUGUGGAAGGGCCAUCGCUCAAAGGAUAAAAGGUACCCCGGGGAUAACAGGCUGAUCUCCCCCAAGAGCUCACAUCGACGGGGAGGUUUGGCACCUCGAUGUCGGCUCAUCGCAUCCUGGGGCUGGAGCAGGUCCCAAGGGUAUGGCUGUUCGCCAUUUAAAGCGGUACGCGAGCUGGGUUCAGAACGUCGUGAGACAGUUCGGUCCCUAUCUGCCGUGGGCGUAAGAAGAUUGAAGAGAUUUGACCCUAGUACGAGAGGACCGGGUUGAACAAACCACUGGUGUAGCUGUUGUUCUGCCAAGAGCAUCGCAGCGUAGCUAAGUUUGGAAAGGAUAAACGCUGAAAGCAUCUAAGCGUGAAGCCAACUCUAAGAUGAAUCUUCUCUAAGCUCUCUAGAAGACUACUAGUUUGAUAGGCUGGGUGUGUAAUGGAUGAAAGUCCUUUAGCUGACCAGUACUAAUAGAGCGUUUGGCUUAUCUUU
rnacentral:rRNA from 1 species